UACGUAGGGACCGAGCGUUGUCCGGAAUCAUUGGGCGUAAAGAGCGUGUAGGCGGCCAACUAAGUCCUGCGUGAAAUCUCGGGGCUCAACCCCGAGCGGCCGUGGGAAACUGGUUGGCUAGAGUGCGGGAGAGGAGAGUGGAAUUCCUGGUGUAGCGGUGAAAUGCGCAGAUAUCAGGAAGAACACCCGUGGCGAAGGCGGCUCUCUGGAACGCAACUGACGCUGAGACGCGAAAGCGUGGGGAGCAAACAGG
rnacentral:rRNA from 1 species